GGCUUUGAUGUUCAUCUCAGGCAUCUUGAAUUUAGGGCCCUUUAGUUUCGCAUCUGGACCUUCGAUAUUCACAUCAGGAACAUCAAUGUCCACCUUGGGUCCUGAGACGUCAAGGUCAGCCUUGGGCAGGUUCACAUCCACAUCUGGGCCCUCUCCUUUGAAGCCAGGCAUGCUGAACUUGGGCAUUUUCACCUUGGGCAUCUUCAGAUGCCAGUCUGGACCAUGAACAUCCACAUCUGGGGCAUUGAUGUCCACUUUAGGGCCUUUGAUAUCAACCUCUGGCCCUUUCAGAUCCCCUUCAAGUUUGGGAAGAGAAAUAUCCACAUCACCUUUCACCUUGGGGCCUUUCAAGUUUAAGUCAAUGUCAGGCAUG
rnacentral:lncRNA from 1 species